ACUGCACUUCCUGCGAGGCCCCUGCAGCAGCAGCGGCGUGGUCAGAGCGAGCUUCGGAGAAGCAGUGGUGGGUUCCAUGUGAUGGUGGAGUAGGAGGCAGGUCUCCGCGGUUUCUUCAUGUGGCUGCAGAUGGCAGGAUUUCCCAAAGGUUUCUGGCUGAAACAUAUUCCGUGGUGUAUCUGUACAGCAGUUUCCUCAUCCCUGCAGCUGUGUUUGAACAGGUCAUUUACCAUGCUGUCCUCCAGGUUCAACAGUAUGGCUCCAAAGGAUGAAAUUUCAUUCUGAUUUUCUGGCUGAAGACUAUUCUCUUUGUGUAUGUCCACCACAGUUACUUUAUCCCUUCAUCUGUGGAUGGGCAGUCUCGCUGUAUUGCCCAGGCUGGAGUGCAGUGGCAUGAUCUCAGCUCACUGCAAGCUCUGCUUCCUGGGUUCACGCCAUUCUCCUGCCUCAGCCUCCUGAGUAGCUGGGAUUACAGGCACCCGCCACCACGCCCAGGAAAGAAAAAAGAAGAAAACAAACCUCCAUACGAGAAUGGGUCUAAAGGAACUUCCCAAACCUCCAUGAUUUUGCAGGAAA
rnacentral:lncRNA from 10 species